GUGGCGCUGGCGAAGACUGCGGCGUUCGCGAAGCUCGCGGCUCGGCGGCGGCCCUGAGGGUCCGUGACGGGCGGCUUGGGUUUUUUUCUCGUUGUAAACCCCCCCGAUGAGGACAAGCGGGCGCCAAGAUCUGCAGGCCAGGCGCACAAACCGAGCUUGGACCCCGGUGCUCGCGAGCGGUCAGCGCCCGAGACCUUCCACUGCUCACUCCGCCUGCUCCCGACCCUUGACAGCGUCAGAGACCGAGCAUCCUGUAUUUUUGUCUGCUAAAAUCGGCAACCCCAGCCUGUGAACAGAUCCUACCUUUGGAUUUCUCAUCGGUGAAAUGAACACGAGCUCCAUGAAGGGAGGGAUGUUUUGUUGUUCCCCCGUCUGCUGUGUCCCAGCACCUAGAAGGAUAUCUGGCCCUGGAUGACUACUCAGUUGUCGACUGAACGAGCAUAAAAGAUAAGUUGUCUCCUACUAUAAAAACUAGUUUAUACGCUAAGUUUAGUGAUCCUACCCCAUCUCCCCUGGUUCUUUUAUUCCUUUCAAUGUGUUUCCACCUGCAUUUUCUCAUUGUUUCUGUGAAUUAAAUAUAUGCCCCCUUCCUAGCCACCUUCACCAGGGUGAACACAGUAGCCAUCCUUCUAACUCAAAAGACAUACUUUAGACAUUUGGGGGAUGCCUGGGUGGCUCAGUGGGUUGGGCCUCUGCCUUCAGCUUGGGUCUUGAUCUCUGGGUCCAGGGAUCAAGUCUCAUAUCAGGCUCUCUGCUCAGCGGGGAGCCUGCUUCCUCUCUUUCCCUGCCUACUUGUGAACUCUCUGUCAAAUAAAUAAAUGAAAAUAAAUAAAUAAAUAAAGACGUUUGGGAGUGUGUUCACACAGGGUAGAUAGGGAACUUAGCUACUUCUUCCCCAGUCCCAGCUAAACAGUUCUUAGUCAGAACAUAGAUUCACAACAGAGCGCACACUCCAAGAAAGGUCAGGAGAGCUGUAAGCCAGAGCCAUGGGAGGGGAAAAAUACGAACAAGGCAAAACUGGAAGCAGGGAAGAGGGACUGUCUCCUAAUGACAAAAGGACUGACAGACACAAACCAGAAGGCUGGCCUAGAGAACUGAACACCACAGCAAGUGGAUGGGACGUCGGAAACUCAGGAACCCAGCCAAGCAAGGGAUCAGUUCCAAUAUCUACACUGGCAGCAAGAGAGGAGCUCGAAACCGUUGAGCUGAAGUUGGUAUGUACCAACCAAGGCUCUCUGUGAAUGUCCUUCUGAGAAGGCCACCAGGCCAGGUCACUUGCCUGGAGUGAAUGGAGUUGACAGAGUCUCCAAAAGUGGAACCUUCCCUAUGGUCCAACAGGACCAAGUGAGUCUGGCAA